CUGCUGUCUCUUACCCUGUCUUUUGAGCAUCUUCGGUUCCUCCCACCCCGGUGCCCCCGAUUGGACCCACUUAAGCCCUUUGUAAUUGAAAUCAACGUCCGAAAAUACUUAAUACCUACAACUUUCAUUGUACUAUCUCUUGUCUCAACUUUCAAUGAGAACCUCUUGAAUUGGGAUAAGAAGAGUAAAUUGCAGAAUUGCGAGAAUCAUCGAGUCUUGCAAAGCUCAUUGCGCCCCUUGAUCUUCCAUGGCGCAUGGCUGCUCCAGCGUUUUUUGUACCUUCGAGCUUUGCUUGGUGUUUUCUGCCUGUCUCGCCUCUGCGCUGAGACGCGGAUUAGAACGAUUGGCAGGCGCCGAAUUGAUUUGGGAGCGUCGUACAUCUCCCGAUUUGAACACAUAACGACUACCUUAAAAAAGGACAUUUUUUACACUCUUGACCUCCCAUCAUGCACGGAUACCCGCUGAACUUAAUCAUAUCAAAAAACCCGAGGAAACUUAAGCAUAUCAAUAAGCGGAGGAA
rnacentral:rRNA from 1 species